rnacentral:rRNA from 1 species
AACGAACGCUGGCGGCAUGCCUAACACAUGCAAGUCGAACGAAGGCUUCGGCCUUAGUGGCGCACGGGUGCGUAACGCGUGGGAAUCUGCCCCUCGGUUCGGAAUAACAGUUAGAAAUGACUGCUAAUACCGGAUGAUGACUUCGGCCCAAAGAUUUAUCGCCGAGGGAUGAGCCCGCGUAAGAUUAGGUAGUUGGUGGGGUAUAGGCCUACCAAGCCGACGAUCUUUAGCUGGUCUGAGAGGAUGAUCAGCCACACUGGGACUGAGACACGGCCCAGACUCCUACGGGAGGCAGCAGUGGGGAAUAUUGGACAAUGGGCGAAAGCCUGAUCCAGCAAUGCCGCGUGAGUGAUGAAGGCCUUAGGGUUGUAAAGCUCUUUUACCAGGGAUGAUAAUGACAGUACCUGGAGAAAAAGCCCCGACUAACUUCGUGCCAGCCGCCGCGGUAACAC